UUCUUUCAAGAACUGCAAGAUAUUCAGAGUUGCGUACAACUGAACUGCUCAUAGAAUUCCAUGAGGAAGAAAUAAGGAUUAGGUAUGCUGAGUCUGGAUCAACAGGAAAACAAGGGAGAAGUAUCUACGAGAGAGGUUUGCAUUUAUGUUGGCUUAAAUUUAGUUUAUUGAUUAAUUGUUUUAAUGGGUACCAAUAUAUUGUUACAAGAAAGCUAAGGGAGAAGUAUCGUUUCUAGCAUUUGAAUAUCUAAUGAUUAUGACAUGGAUGGUUCCUUAUUUUAUUUAAUUGCGCCUUUUGAUCAUGUUUAUUCUAUGUCCUAGGUAUAUGGCAUAUAUUAUGGACACUAAUGAAGAGGAGAGAGUUAAGGUACACCUUAUUCUGAAAGAACUAGCGAGGAAAUCACUAUCAGCAACACAGGUCCUUCAAAAAUAUGUAAAGAAUUGGAUAUAAAUUCCUGUACCAUUUCAGGAUAAGUGAUGACAUACCAGUUGACAAGGAUACUAGUUUGAGAUUGCAACUUGAUAUGUCAAUUUUUGAAAGUUUUUUGAAAG